rnacentral:rRNA from 1 species
UACAGAGGUCUCAAGCGUUGUUCGGAUUCAUUGGGCGUAAAGGGUGCGUAGGCGGCCACCGCAAGUCGACUGUGAAAUCUCCGGGCUUAACCCGGAAAGGUCAGCCGAUACUGCGGGGCUAGAGUGCAGAAGGGGCAACUGGAAUUCUCGGUGUAGCGAGUGAAAUGCGUAGAUAUCGAGAGGAACACCUGCGGCGAAGGCGGGUUGCUGGGCUGACACUGACGCUGAUGCGCGAAAGCUAGGGGAGCGAACGGG